rnacentral:rRNA from 1 species
GAAGGGACCUAGCGUAGUUCGGAAUUACUGGGCUUAAAGAGCUCGUAGGUGGUUAAAAUAGUUGAUGGUGAAAUCCCAAGGCUCAACCUUGGAACUGCCAUCAAAACUUUUUAGCUAGAGUGUGAUAGAGGAAAGUGGAAUUUCUAGUGUAGAGGUGAAAUUCGUAGAUAUUAGAAAGAAUACCAAUUGCGAAGGCAGCUUUCUGGAUCAUUACUGACACUGAGGAACGAAAGCAUGGGUAGCGAAGAGGAUUA